rnacentral:rRNA from 1 species
AGAACGAACGCUGGCGGCAUGCCUAAUACAUGCAAGUCGAACGAACUCUUCGGAGUUAGUGGCGCACGGGUGCGUAACGCGUGGGAAUCUGCCCCUUGGUUCGGAAUAACAGUUGGAAACGACUGCUAAUACCGGAUGAUGACGAAAGUCCAAGGAUUUAUCGCCAAGGGAUGAGCCCGCGUAGGAUUAGCUAGUUGUGAGGUAAGCUCACCAAGGCAACGAUCCUUAGCUGGUCUGAGAGGAUGAUCAGCCACACUGGGACUGAGACACGGCCCAGACUCCGUACGGGAGGCAGCAGUAGGAUAUGGACAAGUGGGACAAAGCCUAGAUCCAGCAAGUGCCGCGUGAGUGAUGAAGUCGUUAGGGUUAGUAAA